UGGAUGGAUGGAUGGAAGAUUUUGAUCUAUCAUAUUCGCAUCCAAAUAUUUCGCAAACUUAUGUCGCUUUUUUUGGGUCGUAUUCGGUGUGAGAAGUCCUUAAGACAUGCAGGCACAUACAAUUAAUGUACCCAUGACACUAACUUAACCCUGAACUUGUGCAGAGGGAAGCCCAUCCACUGUCUCUUGAAGUUCUCCUCUAGUAUCUGGAAAAACACUUUUGCCUUGUUCAUUUUAAAACUCUUGUUACAUAGUACCUCUCCAAAGUACCCAAAACGACCCAAAAAGUUUCAACACCAAUAAUUGACACGUGACGUUCUCAGCGUCCUCUGCAGUGGCUCAUGACAAGUACGUGGAAAGACACACCACACCACAAAUGUCAUAUUAUAUAUUAGGUCACGGAUGUGUUGAACCCACAUAUCCGCGACUGCGGCUCACUUUGGGUAGUGACCCGUAGUUUGGGAGCUCCUGCUCUAGUUCUCUGUUACACACAGCAGACACUAUUAAUAGCACAUUCAAACUGAAUUAACAAUGCAUUUAUCCCCAAGACAUUUUCAACUGCUGAUUUUCCUUUAUUCAGGUGAAUAUUUAGCUUUAAAUUUUAUUUUUAGAUUUUUAAUAAAAAAAUUUAAAAACUACCGGUGUCCAGACCUCCAUGACCUCAUAGCUGGCUAUGGCCCUGCCCGUAUGUAUUUGUUAUUGUAAGUACUUGUACAUCAGAAUCUCCAACUCUCACACAUCUGGCGUGACACUCACGCUUUCUGACUCUGAGUCCUUUUAAGGGCUAGAAUUAAAGAGUACAUUCUCUUUAAAUUGCUGUUAUUCUAUUUCAGUUCUUCCAGACCACCAGUGGGCAGUAGAUGAACUGAGCAGUUCUGCUCCUGCUGGUAUUAUAUUGUGGAGCACCCGAGUGGAGCGGCUCUGCUCCUGCUGUUCUUAUUUUCGAGUGCCCGUGUGUGUUCGACUCUUUCUAACUGCACUUAUACCGGCUGCUCUCUGGUGUGAUCGGCUCCGUUCUAGCAGCUGUUUAUCGCCCUCGGGUAGCGGACUGUGCGUGGGGUGCCCGCUCCCAUGGCGCUAUGGAUGCCCUAGACAGCCGUGACUGCUGCCCUACCUGCCUGGGUCUUACUCAUUUGCGGGAUGUGCUGACCAACCCGUGCCCGGCAUGCAGCGUUAUGUCCCUGGAGCUGCGUCGUCUACACUACACCUGGACUCUGAUACCCUCCGUCUUCCCUCAGGAGUGAGGAGGAAAAGGGAUGCUGCUGGCCGUCAACCUCCUCUACAUGUCACGGUGUGACCCACAGUGAUCCACAACCCGGGUCAAAUUCGGGCCCUUCAGCUGGACCUUCUCAAACUCUCACAAAAGGGUACAACAGAAUGUGUGGACCAACAGACUCAGCCAACCGUUUUUUUAUUUAUUUAUUCCACCUACUUCCUUGUCAGGAAGAAGGAUGGCAGCUCCAGGCCCAUUCUCGAUCUGAGGGGACUGAACCAGUACCUCAGACUCUUGCUAUUCCAGAUGUUCUGCCCCAGGGAGGCACCAUGUCUGGUACAUGGUUCACCAUGAUUGACCUCAGGGAUGCAUUUUUUCAUGUUUCUGUUCCCAGCAGCAUCAGCGCUUCCUGCGGUUUGCCUUUCAUAGGAACUUCCCCGGUACCAUACUCUCUCAUUUGCACUCUCCCUAAUUCCGUGGGUGUUCACACAUUGUGUGAAGAUAGCCGUAGACCCCAUACAGUGCUGGGGUAUUGUGGUCUUGACAUAUCUCGACGACUGGCUCCUGGUUGCACCUUCUGCACAGCAGGUGGCUUUGGGAACCCAGCAGUGGCUGCAGCAUGCGACAGCCCUGGGUUUUACCGUCAACUGGGAGAAGAGCUCCCUUGUUCCCUCCCAACAGUGGAGUUUACUGGCAUGGGCCUGGACUCCAGGCAGAUGCUGGCCUCUCUUACUCCAGCCAGCAGCUUAUACUCAGAACUCAGUUCCGCAGGGGCCUUAUCUGAUCUUACUCCGCCUGGUGGGGUUGCUGGCUGCAGCUCAGCCUCCUCUAUCUGUGUUCCUUCCUACGCUGGCAAGGAUCCUUGCAGUUGACUCCAGUACGAGACAGGCACACCCUUCAGGAUUUCUCACAGCCGCAUCGGAGCACUGCACGGGGAGCACUGCAUGGGCAGUGCCCUUUGCACCCCUGCCGAAGUAGAGGGAAGUGGUGACAACAGAUGCAUCACUUCUAGGAUGAGCCCCCUCCCCCCCAUUCUGGGGGCACCUGGGGGCUGGAACUGUGUUCGCAGCACAUAAAUGUUGGAAGUGAUGCCUGAUUGGCUGAUGCUUCAGCACUUCGAAGCAGUGCUGACCAGGGAGACUAGUGCUGCUUUGGACUUACAACACAUCUGUAGUGUUUGGCUGGGGAGAUCGCGUUCCACACGGAGUCUUACCCUAACACGGCACCCCGUGUGUCUCAGCAGGGAGGUGGCCAGUCAGCGUGCCAGACAUAGGACAGGGUGGAGGUGGACUCCGGCAGUCUGGAACCCUACUGGAUGCGUACCAUGUGCACUGCAGCAGCGGAAAGUGCUUAUUUUCAUUUCUGCAUCCAUGAUAACAGAUUAGAGCGGCCACACUCCCUGUCCGAGACGUGUGGCUCAUGCCUCACUGCAGCGGCGCCUCAUCUGGAGAGUGGGAGUGGCGCCUGGUUUUCAUGCGCGCGAGCGCUACACGCUCACUGCUUUGGCUGGAGCUGUUUGAGCAGCAGCGCGAUAAGAAGAAGAAGAAAAGAUGAAAGGAGAGAGAAGACCUGCAGCGCGAAUUUUGAAAGUCGAAUAAAGUAAAAAAAAAAAAA